rnacentral:rRNA from 1 species
CAACCUGCCGAUGACUCGGGGAUAGCCUUUCGAAAGAAAGAUUAAUACCCGAUGGCAUAGUUCUUCCGCAUGGUGGAACUAUUAAAGAAUUUCGGUCAUCGAUGGGGAUGCGUUCCAUUAGGUUGUUGGCGGGGUAACGGCCCACCAAGCCUUCGAUGGAUAGGGGUUCUGAGAGGAAGGUCCCCCACAUUGGAACUGAGACACGGUCCAAACUCCUACGGGAGGCAGCAGUGAGGAAUAUUGGUCAAUGGACGAGAGUCUGAACCAGCCAAGUAGCGUGAAGGAUGACUGCCCUAUGGGUUGUAAACUUCUUUUAUACGGGAAUAAAGUGAGGCACGCGUGCCUUUUUGUAUGUACCGUAUGAAUAAGGAUCGGCUAACUCCGUGCCAGCAGCCGCGGUAAUACGGAUGAUCCGAGCGUUAUCCGGAUUUAUUGGGUUUAAAGGGAGCGUAGGCGGACGCUUAAGUCAGUUGUGAAAGUUUGCGGCUCAACCGUAAAAUUGCAGUUGAUACUGGGUGUCUUGAGUACAGUAGAGGCAGGCGGAAUUCGAGGCGUAGCGGUGAAAUGCUUAGAUAUCACGAAGAACUCCGAUUG